rnacentral:lncRNA from 1 species
CUCAAACUGGACUAGGUCCACAAUGCUGGUAGUGAUGCUCACAGGACUGGGAGGUCGGGACUCAAGAAUAACGGGACAAACAGGAUUACUGGGCCUCACUUUUCUCCUAGUGGUGCUCCGAGGGUUGCUCGGCCUCCCCUCAGGUCUGGAAGGCUGUACAUAAGACUGGACCAGGCCAACGGGGCUAACAGGCCGUCUAUUGGGGCAUUGAGGGUUGCUUGGCCUCCCCUCAGGUUUGGAAGGCUGUACGUCAGGCUGGACCAGGCCAACGGGGCUAACAGGCCGUCUAGUGGGGCGUCGAGAGUUGCUCGGCCUCCCCUCAGGUCUGGAAGGCUGUACGUCAGGCUGGACCAGGACAACUGGUCUAACAGGCCGUCUAGUGGGGCGUCGAGAGUUGCUUGGCCUCCCCUCAGGUCUGGAAGGCUGUACGUCAGGCUGGACCAGGACAACUGGUCUAACAGGCCGUCUAGUGGGGCGUCGAGAGUUGCUUGGCCUCCCCUCAGGUCUGGAAGGCUGUACGUCAGGCUGGACCAGGACAACUGGUCUAACAGGCCGUCUAGUGGGGCGUCGAGAGUUGCUUGGCCUCCCCUCAGGUCUGGAAGGCUGUACGUCAGGCUGGACCAGGACAACUGGUCUAACAGGCCGUCUUGUGGGGCGUCGAGGGUUGCUAGGCCUCCCCUCAGGUCUGGAAGGCUGUACGUCAGGCUGGACCAGGACAACUGGUCUAACAGGCCAUCUAGUGGGGCGUCGAGAGUUGCUUGGCCUCCCCUCAGGUCUGGAAGGCUGUACGUCAGGCUGGACCAGGACAACUGGUCUAACAGGCCAUCUAGUGGGGCGUCGAGAGUUGCUUGGCCUCCCCUCAGGUCUGGAAGGCUGUACGUCAGGCUGGACCAGGACAACUGGUCUAACAGGCCGUCUUGUGGGGCGUCGAGGGUUGCUAGGCCUCCCCUCAGGUCUAGUGAUGCUGACAGGGAUUCUAGGAAUCAUCAUCUCAUGCUGGUGCAGGCUCUCUGGGCUGCUGGGCCGGGGAAUCAGGUAGAAGCUUGUAGUUCUUCAGAACCUCAGUGAAGGAGAGCUCCUUGUUGCGCCUGCGUCUGUUGGUUUUGGCAGGCAGCUGGGAGCUGCUGCUGUUAAUCCAACCGGGAGACUCACGACAUCCAUCCUGGACAGGAACUAGGGACUGGAGGUCUCUCCUCUUUCUGUGGGCAGCUGUGGGCCUCUUGGACCAGACGUCGUCAGGAGGGGGAGGCCGAGGCACAACAUGCAGGGAGGGGAACGCUGAGGGCCUGAAAGAGGAGGCCAUCACUGGG